GAUGAACGCUGGCGGCGUGCCUAAUACAUGCAAGUCGAGCGAACAGACGAGGAGCUUGCUCCUCUGACGUUAGCGGCGGACGGGUGAGUAACACGUGGAUAACCUACCUAUAAGACUGUGAUAACUUCGGGAAACCGGAGCUAAUACCGGAUAAUAUAUUGAACCGCAUGGUUCAAUAGUGAAAGACGGUUUUGCUGUCACUUAUAGAUGGAUCCGCGCCGCAUUAGCUAGUUGGUAAGGUAACGGCUUACCAAGGCAACGAUGCGUAGCCGACCUGAGAGGGUGAUCGGCCACACUGGAACUGAGACACGGUCCAGACUCGUACGGGAGGCAGCAGUAGGGAAUCUUCCGCAAUGGGCGAAAGCCUGACGGAGCAAUGCCGCGUGAGUGAUGAAGGUCUUCGGAUCGUAAAACUCUGUUAUUAGGGAAGAACAAAUGUGUAAGUAACUAUGCACGUCUUGACGGUACCUAAUCAGAAAGCCACGGCUAACUACGU
rnacentral:rRNA from 1 species